rnacentral:rRNA from 1 species
CCUACGGGUGGCAGCAGUGAGGAAUAUUGGUCAAUGGGCGGGAGCCUGAACCAGCCAAGUCGCGUGAGGGACGACGGUCCUAUGGGUUGUAAACCUCUUUUGUCGGGGAACAAAGUCGCCCACGUGUGCGCUGCUGUGUGUACCCUACGAAUAAGCAUCGGCUAACUCCGUGCCAGCAGCCGCGGUAAUACGGAGGAUGCGAGCGUUAUCCGGAUUUAUUGGGUUUAAAGGGUGCGUAGGCGGACCGUAAAGACAGCGGUAAAAGUGCGGUGCUCAACGCAGUACAGCCGUUGAAACUGGCAGUCUUGAGUGGGCGAGAAGUAGGCGGAAUGCGUGGUGUAGCGGUGAAAUGCAUAGAUAUCACGCAGAACUCCGAUUGCGAAGGCAGCAUACCGGAGCGCGACUGACGCUGAGGCACGAAAGUGUGGGUAUCGAACAGGAUUAGAUACCCGUGUAGUC